AACGAACGCUGGCGGCAGGCUUAACACAUGCAAGUCGAACGGGUGUAGCAAUACAUCAGUGGCAGACGGGUGAGUAACACGUGGGAACCUUCCUAGGGGUACGGAACAACUCAGGGAAACUUGAGCUAAUACCGUAUACGUCCGUGAGGAGAAAGAUUUAUCGCCCUUAGACGGGCCCGCGUCGGAUUAGCUAGUUGGUGGGGUAACGGCCUACCAAGGCGACGAUCCGUAGCUGAUCUUAGAGGAUGAUCAGCCACACUGGGACUGAGACACGGCCCAGACUCCUACGGGAGGCAGCAGUGGGGAAUCUUGGACAAUGGGCGCAAGCCUGAUCCAGCCAUGCCGCGUGAGUGAAGAAGGUCUUCGGAUUGUAAAGCUCUUUUGCCAGGGACGAUAAUGACGGUACCUGGAGAAUAAGCCCCGGCAAACUUCGUGCCAGCAGCCGCGGUAAU
rnacentral:rRNA from 1 species